rnacentral:rRNA from 1 species
UGGGGAAUUUUGCACAAUGGAGGAAACUCUGAUGCAGCGACGCCGCGUGAGUGAUGAAGAUCUUCGGAUUGUAAAACUCUGUCCUUAGUGAAGAUAAUGACAGUAACUAAGAAGCAAGCCCUGGCUAAAUACGUGCCAGCAGCCGCGGUAAUACGUAUGGGGCAAGCGUUGUCCGGAAUUAUUGGGCGUAAAGGGUACGUAGGCGGUUUAAUAAGUCCUAAUUAAAAGGCUAUGGCUCAACCAUAGUAUGGUUAGGAAACUGUUGAAGUUGAGUAAAUGGGGGGCAAGUCAAAUUCCAUGUGUAACGGUAAAAUGCGUAGAUAUAUGGAGGAACACCAAUGGCAAAGGCAACUUACUGGAAAAAAACAGACGCUCAGGUACGAAGGGGUCGGGAGCAAACAGG